GGAAAUUGCAAGCGCUUCAUGUUCUCAAGUCCCUCAAAUCUUAAGAAAGGUCUCCGUCGUAGCCAUGGGGCCAUAGACAGCGACAGGUCACGGAGGACUGGCCACAUGAAGAGAUCAAUACUGAUGAAAGUCUUGAAGAUAAUACUUAGCAUGGCAUUUGGACUGAGUGGACAAGUUUCCGUGGAAAGAACCUCUUUUAGAUAAGACUGCAAUUCUGGAACUGAUUUGAAUUUAGAAAUUUUCCAUUGUCUUGCUCUUUUCAUCAGACCUCAAACAGCAAAAGGAAAAAAAAAAAAAAAAAAAGGAUUGUUAAAAAAAGGCUUGAUGGAGGGAAAAUCGCUGUCUUACCAAACCCGCAUUUCACUCACAUUGCCUAAGAUGUUUUAAACUUUGAUUUGGUAAGAUUUCAUGUGCAUUGUAUUUAAGAAUGAACAGACCCUCCGGCAUUACAGAUGCAUUUUCAGCUGAGGGCAUUUCACAUAUCUCACUUUUCUUCGCAGGGAGUCCUUGUCUGCCAAGAGACCUAAGGAUUCCCAGCAAGUAUCCACCAGAAGAAAGAAACUUUGUUACUCUGCAUGUCUCAGACCUUGGGAGAAAAGAAGUGAAGCUGUAGAAUUAUGUUUUACAAUAAGUUAAGAUCCUUUCAUUUCAACUCAAAGCAUUACAGCCCAAAGGUGCGCUUGCAUUAUGCCUGACUUUUCCACAAUAGCUCACAGGUUGCUCAGAAAUAGAGGAUCUGUGUUCUCAGCCCUCUUUCGUGUAAGCUGAUUUGAAACUGCAUCCACCAUAAAUGCCAGCCUACAGUAGGGAAGUGCUCCCCUGCUUCCUAAGGU
rnacentral:lncRNA from 1 species